rnacentral:tRNA from 1 species
GGUCCGGUAGUUCAGUUGGUUAGAAUGCCUGCCUGUCACGCAGGANGUUCGAGUCCCGUCCGGACCGCCA